GUUCACUACUGCCCUCUUCACCCUCAGAAGUCAUCAAACCUGAAGCUCAGAGUUCGCUGGAUUGGAAAAAGGCACCUUGAUCUCUUUUCCCAUUACACCUUGUGAGGGAGACCCUGGUGUGAAACCCUCUUAGGUCUCGUGGAGGGCAGUGGCCUAAUAAUGUCACAAUUGAGGAUGUCAUGGGGGUGACUGUGGAAUCUGUCCUGACGAUCAGGGCCUCACUGACACCUGGAUGACCUUGAGCAGGAACGUGCUGAUGCAAGCAGAGGUGUGAAAACGUGCUUGGGUGUUUCCACUUCUGCUGUCUUGGACCCCACUUCUGCCAUGAGAACAUGCACAGCUUGCAUGCUGGAGGGAUGUGGAAGAUGCACAGAGAAGAGCUGAGUGAUCUCGGUGGAGGCCAUCCUAGACCAGCCAGCCCCCAGCGAGCUUGUCAGGGGCAGCAGAUGGCUGAGCGAGCCCAGCUGAGGCUCGCCAAGUCCAGCCCAGAUCAGCGGAACCAUCCAAGCAGCCUGUGGACUGGUGAGGAAUAAUAUAUGAAUUGCAGCUGUUUUAAGCCAUGAAGGAUUAGUUUGUUAUGCUGCAAUUGUGGAUUGAUAGAUGAUGUAAGCAGAAAACAAUCUUUGCCACCUGCUCUGUGGAUUAUUUCUGGCUCCUGGAUAAAAAUCCCAAGUUUGGGGGAGGGCUAGAGUGAGUUCUUGUUCGUGUCCAUGUUCACGUUAAUGUUCACCACCAGUUACUUUCAAGUGUAAGAACCAUCUCUGUUAAGUAAUUAGGAUGCCCAGUCCGGUGUAACAAUCAAAACGUCAAAACUUUAUCAAAGAUAGAAGGUUCUCCCCUCUGCUGGCUGAGAAUGGUGGUGGGGAGGAGGAUGCGGUUGGAGUCUCUGUCUCCUUGCCCAGCCUCAUCAGGCAGUUGGAGCCAAGCAGGAGGGACAAACAAAGACGCCUGUGGCAGGUGCAGUUCCCUUCCUACACUAGUGCUCAGUGGCCCCGGUGGCUUUUCAAACCCGGCUCGCCUCCUCUGGCCUCCUUCCGUGUGCUUCUUAGCCCUCUUCCACCAGAACCUCCAACACAAUCCCCAUAAUGUGUGUGAUGCCUUCUAUUCUUUAAAAUGCACUUCAUACAUGACAUAUGCAGAAAAGCAAUCAAAUCAUGUUGUAAACUUUGUGACACAUUUUCACAAGGUGAACACACUGUAUGGCCACCCCCAGACCAAGAACCCUGAACACCACGAGGGUCCCAGAAGCCCCUUCCUCUCCUCUCUGUUACACCCACCCUCAUCCCCUGUCCUAACUUCUAACCUACAGAUAAACAAUUGAAUCGUUUUCUUUGACCAACCUGGUUGGCCUUUGCCAGGACAGAAUGCCCUCUGCCAGCUCUCAAAGAAUCAGCUUACCCCAAAAUAUGCAAACAAAAUGUCACUGUUCCCAGACUGAGAAAUCUUGUUGCUGUCUUUGUUCCUUGACUCAGGCCCCCAUCUGUCCACUUACAUGUGAGCCAACAAAUCAUUCGCAAAGUCACCUAACCGUGAGCAAAGGAACAUCUCUGAAUUAUUCUUUGACAAAUAGCUACUCCCAGACAGCUUACAAAAUGAAACAGCAUACUAAAUGUAGAGGUACAGGGCUCUAAAAUAGGACUACUUUUUUAACCAGAAAAAUGAAUAAUUCUUAAUGAAUCUCGUGACACACAGUUCUUAUGUUUCUUUAAAAUUUCCAAGCAUUUAGGAAAAUUUAAUUCAUUUCUUAUGUAAUAGGAGCUCAAUAAAGUAUUCUCUAACAUUUCUACUUAGACCAGAAAUCAUGCUAAGCAUGAAUUGUUAAAUUCCUUUUAAAUAUUAUAACCAGUUACAUAAAAAUGAAUCUGGUUUAACAAUGAUCUAUUCUUAGUUUCAAUAUUUUUUUAG
ensembl:lncRNA